rnacentral:rRNA from 1 species
UGGGGAAUUUUGGACAAUGGGGGCAACCCUGAUCCAGCCAUGCCGCGUGAGUGAAGAAGGCCUUCGGGUUGUAAAGCUCUUUCGGCCGGGAAGAAAUCGGUCUCUCGAAUACAGGGAUCGGAUGACGGUACCGGAUGAAGAAGCACCGGCUAACUACGUGCCAGCAGCCGCGGUAAUACGUAGGGUGCGAGCGUUAAUCGGAAUUACUGGGCGUAAAGCGUGCGCAGGCGGUUUGCUAAGACAGGUGUGAAAUCCCCGGGCUUAACCUGGGAACUGCGCUUGUGACUGGCAGGCUAGAGUACGGUAGAGGGGGGUGGAAUUCCUGGUGUAGCAGUGAAAUGCGUAGAGAUCAGGAGGAACACCGAUGGCGAAGGCAGCCCCCUGGGCCUGUACUGACGCU